rnacentral:rRNA from 1 species
UUUCGCCUCACAGUAGGUCGCCGCGACCCGUUGCUUUUGGGGACGUCGAAGGCCCGGACGGAUUGGUACCCUACCGGCUGGGGAUGCGGCUUCGGCUUCUCCUCUUGUCCGGUGGGCGAAACCGCCGGUGUCCUGGCUGCCCUGCGACGGUCGUAGAGACGAGCCCUCCCCUUCGGGGGGGCGGCUCUCGCGGCGUGCAAAAGGUCGGUGAUCCACCCGACCCGUCUUGAAACACGGACCAAGGAGUCUAACAUGUGUGCGAGUCAGUGGGCGCACUAAACCCAGAGGCGUAAUGAAAGUGACACGGGUUCGGCUGUCGCCUCGUGUGGCAGCCGGACUCAGGGCCGAUCCCUCACCGGUUGCCCUCGCCUCUCUCCCGCGUCUCGGUAAGCCGGGUGAGCUAUUUUCCCCGGCCGCUGCUGCGGGGCUCGGGGGGAGGCGGGGUGCGAUGGUGUCCGUAAAAAAGAGCCUGCUGUUGCAGGGGGGCGCAGGCCCGGGACUUGCCAGGACGCCGCGAGACUGUCACUUUGCUGUGAGGCUCUCGGGCCGAUCAGCGGGUCAUGCGUGCAGUCGGCAAGUACCAUGAGCAGACAUGUUGGGACCCGAAAGAUGGUGAACUAUGCCUGGCCAGGAUGAAGCCAGAGGAAACUCUGGUGGAGGUCCGUAGCGAUUCUGACGUGCAAAUCG